rnacentral:rRNA from 1 species
AGAGUUUGAUCCUGGCUCAGGAUGAACGCUAGCGACAGGCCUAACACAUGCAAGUCGAGGGGCAGCGAAGAGGUAGCAAUACCUUUGUCGGCGACCGGCGCACGGGUGAGUAACACGUAUGCAAUCCACCUGUAACAGGGGGAUAACCCGGAGAAAUCCGGACUAAUACCCCAUAAUAUGGGCUCUCCGCAUGGAGAGCCCAUUAAAGAGAGCAAUUUUGGUUACAGACGAGCAUGCGCUCCAUUAGCCAGUUGGCGGGGUAACGGCCCACCAAAGCGACGAUGGAUAGGGGUUCUGAGAGGAAGGUCCCCCACAUUGGAACUGAGACACGGUCCAAACUCCUACGGGAGGCAGCAGUGAGGAAUAUUGGUCAAUGGUCGGCAGACUGAACCAGCCAAGUCGCGUGAGGGAAGACGGCCCUACGGGUUGUAAACCUCUUUUGUCGGAGAGUAAAGUACGCUACGUGUAGCGUAUUGCAAGUAUCCGAAGAAAAAGCAUCGGCUAACUCCGUGCCAGCAGCCGCGGUAAUACGGAGGAUGCAAGCGUUAUCCGGAUUUAUUGGGUUUAAAGGGUGCGUAGGCGGCACGCCAAGUCAGCGGUGAAAUUUCCGGGCUCAACCCGGAGUGUGCCGUUGAAACUGGCGAGCUAGAGUACACAAGAGGCAGGCGGAAUGCGUGGUGUAGCGGUGAAAUGCAUAGAUAUCACGCAGAACCCCGAUUGCGAAGGCAGCCUGCUAGGGUGAAACAGACGCUGAGGCACGAAAGCGUGGGUAUCGAACAGGAUUAGAUACCCUGGUAGUCCACGCAGUAAACGAUGAAUACUAACUGUUUGCGAUACAAUGUAAGCGGUACAGCGAAAGCGUUAAGUAUUCCACCUGGGGAGUACGCCGGCAACGGUGAAACUCAA